GAUGAACGCUGGCGGCGUGCCUAAUACAUGCAAGUCGAGCGAACAGACGAGGAGCUUGCUCCUCUCACGUUAGCGGCGGACGGGUGAGUAACACGUGGAUAACCUACCUAUAAGACUGGGAUAACUUCGGGAAACCGGAGCUAAUACCGGAUAAUAUAUUGAACCGCAUGGUUCAAUAGUGAAAGACGGUUUUGCUGUCACUUAUAGAUGGUUCCGCGCCGCAUUAGCUAGUUGGUAAGGUAACGGCUUACCAAGGCAACGAUGCGUAGCCGACCUGAGAGGGUGAUCGGCCACACUGGAACUGAGACACGGUCCAGACUCCUACGGGAGGCAGCAGUAGGGAAUCUUGCGCAAUGGGCGAAAGCCUGACGGAGCAACGCCGCGUGAGUGAUGAAGGUCUUCGGAUCGUAAAACUCUGUUAUUAGGGAAGAACAAAUGUGUAAGUAACUAUGCACGUCUUGACGGUACCGAAUGAGAAAGCCACGGCUAACUACGUG
rnacentral:rRNA from 1 species